UACGUAGGGUGCAAGCGUUGUCCGGAAUUAUUGGGCGUAAAGAGCUCGUAGGCGGUUUGUUGCGUCGGCUGUGAAAUCCCGAGGCUCAACCUCGGGUCUGCAGUCGAUACGAGCAAACUAGAGUGUUGCAGGGGAGACUGGAAUUCCUGGUGAUAGCGGUGAAAUUCGAUAGAUGAUCGGGAGGGAACACCGGUGGCGAAGGCGGCGACCUGGGACAAUACUGACGCUGAGGUGCGAAAGCGUGGGGAGCAAACAGG
rnacentral:rRNA from 1 species